rnacentral:rRNA from 1 species
GUAGGUGGCAAGCGUUGUCCGGAAUUAUUGGGCGUAAAGCGCGCGCAGGCGGUCCUUUAAGUCUGAUGUGAGAGCCCACGGCUCAACCGUGGAGGGUCAUUGGAAACUGGGGGACUUGAGUACAGAAGAGGAAAGCGGAAUUCCAAGUGUAGCGGUGAAAUGCGUAGAGAUUUGGAGGAACACCAGUGGCGAAGGCGGCUUUCUGAUCUGUAACUGACGCUGAGGCGCGAAAGCGUGGGGAGCAAACAGGGAUUAGAUACCCUGGUAGUCCACGCCGUAAACGAUGAGUGCUAAGUGUUAGGGGGUUUCCGCCCCUUAGUGCUGCAGCUAACGCAUUAAGCACUCCGCCUGGGGAUACGGCCGCAAGGCUG